UUCAAACCCGCGCCACGAUGAGUGCCCUCGCGGAGGUUUUCGACCGGGUCAAACCGCUGGUGGAGUCGGUUCUGCGCGACCGCCGAGUCUCGGACAUCCGGCAGCUGAACGCGCAGCUGGAACGCAUCGACGCGGCGAGUUUGCAGAUCCUGCAGAACGUGCUGCUUCAGCAGCUGGUCGUGGCGGUGGACAACGUCGCCAGCGGGGAGAACGGAAACGAGGUCAAGACGGCGCUGAUGGAGUGCGUGGGGACGAUUCUGGACAAGGGGACAAUCCGGCAGGGGGUGGUGAUGAAGACGACGCUGGUGAUCUUGUUGAAGCAGCUGUACGACCUGCAGGGGAACCGGCUGGUGGUGGAUCUUUCCGAGGAGUACAAGCUGGCGGCGCUGCGGGGGUUGACUUUGGCGGCAAAGAAUGUCCAGUCGGAGUUGAUUGAGGAGGUUUAUACGCGGGAUCAGUUGAACCUGCUGUCGCAGGUUCUGUUCGUGGCCGUGAGCGUGCUUUCGGGUGGCGAUCGGUACCGGAAGUUGCGACUGCAGGCGAUUGAGUGCGUUUUGGCUGUGAUGCAGGUUCACGAUGGGAGUGAUUUUGGGGACGCGGUGCUGCGAUGCCAAGUGGCCGAGCUGAUGUUCAUCGUGCUGCCGAAGCUGCUGGUCGCGCUGGUUUCCGUGGUCAACGGGGACGAGAAGCAGGGAAAGGCACUGGUGAGGGCGGGGGUUAAAGGAUUGGGACGGGUACUUGGGUUGAUCUUUGAAGAUUACGACAAAACGUUGAUUGAUGAGGAAUUUUCGACGGAGGAGUUUGUAAAAUUGUCCAAGGAGUUGGGAACUUCCGGUGAAACCGGAAAGAACGUUCUCGGGAUGGGCUUGCGGGACUCCAAAGCACGCGAAGCGUACUUCAGCAACACUACCCGGAGCAGAGAGUGGCUGCUGGAGGCGGAGAAGAAGGUCCACGGAGUGUUGACCACAAUUUGUCACCUGCGAGGAGCGGAAGAUGAAUCGGUCCGGCUUGAAUACGCCCGCAUGAACGUGGAACUGCUCGAGAAAUGUACCCUGAACAUGCCGACCUGUUCCGUACUCUUCCUCGAGUCAAUUCUCGCCCUCUGCCAAGAUGAAUCCGAGAAAAUCCGGAGCAUUUGCGACGCCACCUUGAAGGCAACUUCCGGCCACCAUUCCAUCGCAUUCGGAACAACCCGGAAAGACGAACUGUUCUACGAAGCGCUCAAAACCAUUCCGCGAAGCAUCUACCGCGGUCAAGAAACGGACCAGAUCGCCCACUUCCGGUUGCUCAUCGGGUACGUCCACUUCCUGUCCGAUUCCCAACUCCAGGUGAUCCUCGCGAACCAGGAGAUCCUCAACCAGCUCGUCGCGAUUCUGGUGGCCGGCGCCGAGCUGGACCAACCGGAGGAACUCGUCCGUCGCGAGUACGUUUCGUACCGGUUCCGGUACGUUCCGGACGAGUGCCAGCUGGAGAAGGAAAAGCGCGAGUCGCGCUGGAUCGUUUUGCGUAACUUUCAUGGUUCGGAAAGAAGUCAGAAGGUGUUUCUGGAGGUUCUGCACGCUUUUCGGGAGCGACCGGAAGCGCUGGCGACGAUUUUGAACUACAUCCUGGAAGAUCUGUUCACCACCAAGCUGAACACCAACGGAUAUUUGUUCCUGCUUUCGGAGUUGGUACCGUCGAGUUCUUCAAGUCCCACGCUGACCGCAAUCUUCCGAAACGUCUUCACGGAAAUCCUCCAAAGCUACCACUGGGACCUUGACCUGGAAGAGACCACCGAAAUCGGCAACCUCAAGUUCAACGUCCUUCACAUCUGCCUCUCGCUUCGCCUGGUCGCCAAAUUCGCAAAACUCUUCAGCGGCGCCGAUUUCCACUUCCAACUCUACGACAUCCUUCGUCACGUGCUCCCCCUGUCCGGAUCCAACCUGAACUGCAUCAACGAAGCCGCGGAACUAACGCUGGAAGCCGUCGCCGAACCAGACUCAAUCCAACAACUAAUCUCCACCAACCUGGACUACAUCUCGCAGCACAUCAGUCAUUGUCUCCGACGACCGGAAAGCUUCCCCGGCGGAGUGCACCUGCUGGAGUCGGUUCUGCGCUUCGUCCCGUACGAAUCGUCCGCCGUGCUGGAGUCCACCAUCUCGCCCAUCGUGGUCAGCAUCCUGGACGGACACGAUCAGCGAAGGACGAAGGGAAUUAUGUGCCUCAGAGUGCUGCAGAUCUUCGUUCGCGCCAUUCGGUAUCGAUAUCAAAGUGAAACAGAUGAACAGGUUCCAGAUCCGGAGCUUACAUCCGCUCAAGCCAAGCUUCACGAACGAAUCGCCCAGCUGAAGGAGGAGUUGGCGAACAAACUCCCCCCCGCGGGAGCAACCAUCGAAAAAAUCCCCGACGACGAACCUCCACCAGAAGAACCAAUGGACGACCAAGAAGAAGGUCCCUACCAAUCCGAAGAGGACAAACUUCCCCCCCACAUCCGAAUCACCAUCAAAAUCCUCACCGUAAACUUCAAAUACCUUUCCUCCACCGCCCCCGAAGAGCGCAUCGUCGCCCUCGGAACGCUCACCGAAGGAAUCCACCUCCUGCAAACCCACGAAAACCAACUCCUCCCCCUGGUCCACCAAAUCUGGUACAACUUUGCCGAACGCUUCGCCGACCCCUCCCCGGUCGUAGUAAGUGCCGCCUUCGACCUCCUCGUAACCCUAGCCAACCUCGCCCGCGACUUUAUCCGCAAGCGAACCCUGGACGACAUCCUGCCCCGCCUCAGCGCUUUCAUGACGGACCACGUGGCGGCGGAUUUCGGCGCGCACCAGACGUACAAGCUGCAGCGGAAGGUACUCGAGCGGGGUGCGGAGUUGGUGCGCUCGUUGCGGUUGAACGAGCGCCAGCUGGAUCAGGUGCUGAACGUGGCGAGGUUGUACCGGGAACGGUCCGAGAGGAGGGAGCUGAGGGAGCUGGCGGGGAAGAUGUUUGAGGAUGUGGCGGCCCGGUACGAUCCGGGAGCGGUGUGGGUCAAGGUGAACGGAAGAGGUUCUAAACGAAACUUGCCGAGUUGGGUAAAUACGAUGGGUGCUGAAAAAAUCGUUAUUUUGCACAACAGCUUUUGUAAUUCCGAUCAACACAUACACCAAGAUGAUUGACCAGGGGUUAGGCAUACAACCCGGAGGGAGACGAGAGAGCGAGCAACCACAAAACGAGAGCACCGUCGUGUGUUCUGUGCAAUGCAUACGCUUGUGAUAGUCCAGCCAGCAGAUCCAGUCCCGUCGAGUAUAAGGUACAACAACAACAGCAACCUAGAAGCUAAACCAAGUGGGUGUGUGUGUGAGUGUGUCGGGUGUGAUUUGAUAUUGGAACCAAACUAUCAUCAGUAUUAAUAUUAAUGCAUGGCUCUGUAGAGUCUCGUCG